rnacentral:tRNA from 2 species
UCGUUAGCUCAGUCGGUAGAGCAGUUGACUCUUAAUCAAUUGGUCGGCGGUUCGAACCCGCC